GACGCCCCCCUUCACCUCACUGCCCCUCAGCUCCCUUUCCUUACGGGAUGCGGGGUGGGAAGCGGUGGAUCGCCCAGCAAAACGCCUUCUUUCUGAUGUUAGAAAGGCCUGCAGUUGGUGCAAAAUGAGUGUUCCUGACUACAUGCAGUGUGCUGAGGAUCAUCAGACUCUCCUGGUUGUGGUCCAGCCCAUCGGCAUUGUACCAGAAGAGAGCUUUUUUAGGAUCUACAAGCGGAUUUCAGCCGUGAGCCAAGUCAAUGUGCGCGACUCCCAGCGCGUGCUGUACAUCCGCUACAGGCACCAUUAUCCCCCCGAGAACAACGAAUGGGGGGAUUUUCAGACGCACCGCAAAGUUGUGGGGCUGAUAACUAUCACAGACUGUUCUUCUGCCAAGGACUGGCCUCAGAUGUUUGAAAAGUUCCAUCUUCAGAAGGAAAUGUAUGGCUCUACGCUCUAUGAUUCCCGGCUGUUUGUCUUCGGACUUCAAGGAGAGAUUGCAGAGCAGCCCCGCACAGAUGUGGCGUUUUACCCCAGUUAUGAUGAAUGUGAAACCGUGGAGAAGAGAAUAGAAGAUUUCAUCGAAUCCCUCUUCAUUGUGUUGGAGUCUAAGCGGCUUGACAGAGCCACUGAUAAGUCUGGAGACAAGAUCCCGCUGCUCUGCGUUCCUUUUGAGAAGAAGGAUUUUGUAGGGCUGGACACAGACAGUAGACACUAUAAGAAACGCUGUCAGGGCCGGAUGCGGAAGCACGUUGGUGACCUGUGUUUGCAGGCUGGGAUGUUACAGGAUUCCCUGGUGCAUUAUCACAUGGCUGUGGAACUUCUGCGCUCCGUAAACGACUUCCUGUGGCUCGGAGCUGCUCUUGAGGGUUUAUGUUCAGCAUCAGUCAUCUAUCAUUAUCCUGGUGGGACUGGAGGUAAAGUUGGAUCUCGUAGAGCACAAGGAGGCUCUCUUUCUGCUGAAGCAGGCAACAGGCACAGACCAGGGGCACAAGAAGUUCUCAUUGAUCCAGGUGCACUGACUUCAAAUGGGAUAAAUGCAGAUACCAGUGCUGAGAUAGGACGUGCCAAGAAUUGCCUUAGUCCUGAAGACAUCAUCGAUAAAUAUAAGGAAGCCAUUUCUUACUAUGGCAAGUACAAGAAUGCAGGUGUCAUCGAACUGGAAGCCUGCGUGAAGGCAGUGAGAGUCCUUGCAAUACAGAAAAGGAGCAUGGAAGCCUCUGAGUUCCUUCAGAAUGCAGUUUAUAUCAAUCUUCGCCAGCUCUCAGAAGAAGAAAAAAUCCAGCGUUACAGCAUUCUUUCGGAGCUGUACGAACGAAUUGGUUUUCACCGCAAGUCUGCUUUUUUCAAGCGCAUCGCAGCAAUGCAGUGUGCUGCACCCAGCAUCCCAGAGCCUGGAUGGAGGGCCUGCUACAAAUUGCUUUUGGAAACUCUCCCUGGCUAUAGUUUAUCAUUGGAUCCCAAAGAUUUCAGCAAAGGAACUCACAGAGGAUGGGCUGCAGUGCAGAUGCGUUUGCUUCAUGAACUAGUAUAUGCUUCAAGAAGAAUGGGCAAUCCUGCCCUAUCCGUCAGGCAUCUGUCUUUCCUUCUCCAGACCAUGCUGGAUUUUCUUUCUGAUCAAGAAAAGAAAGAUGUAACACAGAGCUUGGAAAACUACACAGCAAAAUGCCCUGGCACAAUGGAAUUCAUCACUCUUCCAGAUGGUUUGAAGUUGCCUCCUGUUCCAUUCACCAAAUUGCCUAUUGUGAGAUCUGUGAAGCUCUUGAACCUUCCCACCAGCCUCCGACCUCACAAAAUUAAAAGUCUACUUGGUCAGAAUGUGUCAACCAAAAGCCCUUUCAUAUAUUCUCCAAUUAUUGCUCAUAGUCGUGGGGAAGAGCGAACGAAGAAAAUAGACUUCCAGUGGGUCCAGGGAGAUGUGUGUGAAGUUCAGUUGAUGGUGUACAACCCUAUGCCUUUUGAGCUCCGAGUAGAAAACAUGGGUCUCUUGACAACAGGAGUAGAAUUUGAAUCUCUUCCUGCAGCCCUUUCUCUACCUGCAGAAUCUGGUUUGUAUCCAGUAACUCUUGUUGGUGUUCCUCAAACCACUGGACAGAUCACUAUCAAUGGUUACCAUACCUCAGUGUUUGGAGUAUUCAGUGAUUGCCUUCUGGACAACCUACCAGGAGUCAAGACCAAUGGCUGUACUGUUGAAGUCAUUCCAGCUUUGCCGAGGCUACAGAUCAGUACCUCCCUUCCAAGGUCCGCUCAUACACUUCAGCCUUCUUCAGGAGAUGAAGUCUCCACUAGUGUAUCUGUCCAGCUUUACAAUGGAGAGACUCAACAGCUGAUCAUUAAGUUGGAAAACAUUGGAACAGAACCAUUGGAGACGUUGGAGGUCACAGCGAAAACAGUCAAUACAAAGGAGAAGCUGUAUGGAGACUUCCUGAGUUGGAAGCUAGAAGAUACGCUCUCCCAGUUUCCUCUGAGACCUGGGAAGAUCGCAACGUUUGUUGUAAACAUUAAAGUGAAGCUGGACUUCUCGUGCCAAGAAAAUCUUCUGCAAGAUCUCAAUGAUGAUGGAAUCAGUGUUAGUGGACUUCCACUCUCCAGUCCUUUUCGGCAAGUUGUCAAACCAAGAGUGGAGGCUAAACCCAUUAACCCUCAAGAAAGCAGCAAAGGUGGGGACUUCAGUCAUGUGAAGACACUGGAAGCCAUCCUGAAUUUUAAAUACUCUGGUGGACCAGGACACAUUGAAGGAUAUUACCGGAACCUUUCACUGGGUCUUCACGUAGAAGUAGAGCCUUCUGUUUUCUUUACACGUGUCAGCACCCUUCCAGCAACCAGCACCCGGCAGUGUCAUCUACUUCUUGAUGUCUUCAAUUCCACAGAGCACGAGCUGACCAUCAGUGCUAGGAACAACGAAGAUUUAAUUCUGCACGCUGGAGAAUGUCAGCGUAUGGCUAUUCAAGUUGACAAGUUCAAUUUUGAGAGCUUCCCAGAACCUCCUGCAGAUGGGACACCGUAUGCGAAUGCAAAGCAGCUGGAGGAAGAAAGACAACAGGCAAAAGGUCUGGAAAUUAACAGCAAGCUGGAUAUUUGCUGGAAAAUUCCUUCCUUGAAGCGUGAAGGGGAAGCAAGCGUGGAAGGCGUUCUUAAUCAACUGGUCCUGGAGCAUCUACAGUUGGCUCCUCUCCAGUGGGGAUUUUCCAUUGCUUAAUCUUAGCAAACACUGAAGAAGAUGAUCUGAGCAAGGUCAGGCUGGACUCCAAGUAAGCUGAUCUCGCUGUAGGUGUCUGUGUUCAUUGCAGAGGAGUUGGACUGGGCAGUCCUUAAAGGCUCCUUCCAACUGCAACCAUUCUGUGAUUCUGCGCGCCGUGGGAUUUGGAGAGUCAUUUCUCUGAACUGCUGGAAGGAUGCAGUGUCUGCCCAGUCUGUGGUAUUGCCCUGGCUAGGCCAGUAAUACUACUGUAGGAGAUCUGUUUUUGAAGAAAAGGCCCCUUUCUGCUGUUAUUUGACCUAAUGCUGAGAAAACCAUCUAUGUAAGGCCUGCAUCUGAGUAGCUCUCUAACAAGAGCUGGAUUGAUACCUGCAGCUCCAGUGCUAAAUGGUCAGAUCUGUAAUGACAUUUAUCCUAUUAUCUUGGUUUGUAUUCUGAGUGACAAGGGGAUAUUUGUCUAUCCAGGUGAUUUGUGGUCUCCUUCCAAGCACAGAAUCAAAUAUGUUUUGUGUAGAAUUGCUUCCCAGGUCCAUCGAUACUGCUGACUGGAAAUUCAAGAGUUGUUAGGAAACCCAGAUAUGCAGUUAGUUUCAUUAGGAUACAUUUCAUUAUACAGUAAUUACGCUUUUCAGCACAUCCAGAUGCAACACAGUAAAAGCGUGUACCCAGGAGCUGCCUGUGAGCUGCGGGCUGAGGCUGGGGCUGCCCUGUGCUACACACAGCCGAUCCAUGGCCUCUUUGCAGGGCACAGGGCAAGUAAAAAAUGGUUUUCAGCACAGGCACAGCAGCCACAAGGCAAGGAGGUGGCCCCAGUUGAGAGAGAAAUAACAGAAGGGCCUCAGGCCCGGGGAAGAGGAAGGCAGGAGGGUCUGCAGGCUGCAGCAGGAGCUGUGAUGCCUCUACAUUUAUCUCAGCCUAGAGGUGUUUUCUCCUAUCUCCUCUGCCUGUCCUGGUGAGGAGUGGCAGUGAGACUGACUCAGCUAGCUGGCCAGGAUGCAAACCCACCACAGCAUGUUAUUUCAGUUUCUGGGUAUUCUCCUUCAGUUUUUGCCCUUCAGAGAGAAUGUACCACAGUCCAUGCGUUUCUUUGGAGCUGGUUAUACUCAGCUGUGUCUGCAGAAGCAUCAGACACCAGACAAAGGUGGAAAGUAUGCCAGUGUGAUGCAUGAUAAGGAAUGAAAAUGAGGCAGUUCAGGACUGUUUACUUGUGAGAAAUUGUUUUGGCUUCCUAGCUGUCACAGCACAUAUUUUUGGUGCAGGAAGUCCAUUCAGAAAGCUGUGCAUAAUUCAGUCCAGUACAAAUGCAAAGAGGCAGACCAGGCCUGUGGCAUGUAGCGAUACAUGUCUGACAGGGGAGGCAGCUUGUAAAAGAGAUUAGAGAUGGUAAUCUGGAAGCUGUUCUUCAAAAGGCACAGAGUGAAGUUCUGUUAUUUUCCGGGAGAGAAAAAGUCACGAAUGUGACUUCAUCAUUCAAGACAAAACUUUGCACUUUUCUUUCUAUUAUUGUCAUAAAUUGUUUCUAAAGCCAUGUUUUGUGUGAGAUUGCAAACAGCUCUGCAGUACGAUGUAGCAUCAUUCUUAACCUUUCACAUCUGGAGUAUCUUUUGCACUGCACUGGUGCAGGCAAUUUGGUAACAAUCCACAUGAUGUAAUUUAUGCAGAGACCACUGAUGGCAUUUACUUCUGUCUUUUACCUGGAGUUUCAGUCUAUGGAGUUCUUCAUUUGCUAUAUACCAUGCCAUAAUAAUCAAAGAGCCUUUAAGCAAAUUAAGUUGGAUAGCCCUAUGAUAUUAACUCACUUUAAAGACAAAGGGAUCAAAGCAGUACAGAAAUUCAGAUAUUUCAUGUAGCUGAAGAGCUGAGAUAAUAUUAAGGAAAUAGGAGAUGUACGUGCACGUACAAAUAUUUUCAGUGCUGAAGUGGAAUCACUCUGAGCAUUUCUCUAGAAAUUAAAUCUGAGUACAUAGUAUCUGGCAAUUAAUAGCAAAUCAAACCUGUUUGUGUAUGUGGUGAUUAGACAGUCUUUAAUUGUCAUUACUUCAUAUUCUGAUGGCAAACUGAGUUUAUUAAAGUUUGUAAGCUCUGAAAUAAAUAGGAGUAAAUAUUUUGUUUAGUAAAAUUUUACUUAUAUGUAAUAACAUCUAGGUGAAAAGUCAUCUGAGAUUCUUUGUAUUUUGAAAUAGGGAUUAAAGUGAAUCUGAGUCACCUUGCUAUUCAUUAAGCAGUUCUCUCCUGCUCUGUCAUAAAUAAUAAAUAGUAUGAUGGGAAGACUUAUCACUUACUAGUGAAAUUUGACUAUCAGCAAGCAAGUUAAUAGGUACAAAUAAAAAGCAAGCUAUCAUGCAGUAUCUCUAAAACUUUCUGAAGGUGUAUCGCAAAUACCAGGAUUGGAUACCAUCUUCUGCCUAGGAAAGUUAGAAUGAUCGAGAUCUAGCUCUAGAGUGGUUUCCUGAUUUUACUAUUCUUCAUGCAAAUUAACUGUAAUUGACAAGAAUAUAGAAUAUUUCAUAUUAUGGUCUUAGACAUAAAACCAGGUGGUCUUCACACGUUCAGAAACGCUCAUUCUCUAUCAUCCCUGUGAUGUCAGAAAUAGCUGCAUAGUUCUUUCCUUCAGUGCCUGUUACUUUGGAAUUCUGUGAAUUCUGUGAUUCUGUGAAUCUUCCCUUCAACCCCUGAUGGCAGAGUUGGAAGGUUGAGGCUUUAUAAAUAGGUAAACCUUGUUACCACCACCAUCCCACAACAACCCAAGUCCCACCCCAUCCCAAUAAAACACCUCCUGCAAUAUCUACCCCAUUUCUGCAGUUGCAUAUCUUAGAACUUCUAUGGGAGAUAAUGGGAUUUUUAAAGGACAGUGGUCAACAUGAAAAUGCAUCUUUUGUUCUCCUUUCUCCCUGUCCUUUCUUUUUCAGUGUUCUGCUUGCAGAGGUCUCUUACUGAAGAGAAAUCGUGUUUGUUGCUUUAUGUAUUUCCAGUACAUGUAGAUUAAAAUAUUGUAGGUUCUGUUGGAUGCCUGAAAACACCUACUACACUUGAAAUUUAUAUUUUACCCACUAAUUGUUGGAAAAUAUGAGCCCUUGAUUGGUAUGCAAUUAGAAGUGUAACAUUCUGUUAAACAUAUCACACAGCAUAUGGCAUGUUAGUAGCAAAUCCUCUAAUUUAAAAUGAAAAAAGUGUGUAGCUCUGCGUAUUACAAAUUUUUGCUGAGGAUAAAAAAUUGCCAUUUGUCUAAAUACCAUGGGGAAAAUACAUCCUUAGUUAUUUUUGUGAUCUGAAUUCAGUUUGCUGUAUAAAAUUUAUGUUUUCUAGUGAUAAAUAGAGGAAAAUGUGAAAUGUAUUUAAAUAUGAAGUUUGUUACAAGUAAUCCAUACUAUGCCUUUUAUUAAAUAUAUAUAUAUUUAUUAUACAUAUACAUAAAUAUAUAUAUAUUUGUAUGCUUUAGUGCAAACAGGUUAAAAAUGCUGAAGCAAAAACAUAUUUACACAGUCACAGAAAUAAAAAAUCAAAGGGCAAGGAGUAAAAUUGAAAUUGAUGAUGGAAUUCAGUGGUGCUCUGUUGUGUCAGUCAAAGCCACAGAAUAGAUCCACAGACAUCAUCACAAAAUCACAGGUAAAUCUCACUGUACUGAAGGCCUGGUAAGUACACUGAUUUUUCAGGUGUUUCUGUGUUGUAUUUUGGGGCUUUUUGCAGUAACAUUUUCACAGAUACAAAAAAGUGUUGCAAGAAUUAACCUUGUUAUUGACUGAAGUAUUUCUUGCAUGGUUGCAGAAUAUAUGAACACUUACAAGAUGUGCUAGCCCAUUUAUAAGGCUGAUAGUAAACAAUGCUAAACUUAGGCAUGGUUCACUGAAAGAUAGCUUGGUAGCCCAGUUUAAUACAGAAUCAAGUAAGCAGCAUCCACUUUUACUUCCUCAGUGAUUGUCCAGGAUUACUGUGAUUUCAGGUACAGUUAAUCUUGUAGGGAUUAUAUUUCUUUGAUUAACUGCUUAUACACCCUGAUUUUUAGAACAAAUCUUUGAAGUUGAAAAGAUCUUUGGAUCCUUCAAAAAUCGUAGAAUGGGUUAAAUUGUAAGGGACCUUGAAGAUCGUCUAAUUCCAGCACAGACCCCUGAGGAACACUGCUAGUUACAGGCCUCCAGCCAGACUCUGCACCACCACCGAUGACCCCCUGUGCACUGCCAGUCAGCCAGUUCUCAACCCACCUCACUGUCCACUCAUCUAUCCCACACUUCCUCAGCUUUGUUAUAAGGAUGUUGUGGGAGACAGUAUCAAAUGCCUUUCUAAAAUCAAGGUAGAUUACAUCUACUGCUCUUCCCCCAUCCACCCAGCAUGUGACAACAUCAUAGAAGUCCACCAGGUUGGUCAAGCACGACCUCCCCUUGGUGAACCCGUGCUGACUACUCCUGAUAAUCUCCUUUUCUCCCAGUUGUCUGGAGAUGGCAUCCAGCACAAGCUGUUCCAUCACCUUUCCAGGGACAGAGGUGGGGCUGACAGGUCUAUAAUAACCUGGGUCUUCCUUCUUGCCCUUUUUGAAGACCAGAGUGACAUUGGCUAUCCUCCAGUCUUCAGGGACUUCCCCUGUUAUCCAAGACCUCUCAAAAAUGAUGGAGAGCAUUUUGGCAGUGAUAUCCGCCAGCUCCCUCAGCUCCCGUGAAUGCACCCCAUCAGGUCCCAUGGACUUGUGGACCUUAGUACUGCCUAGGCGCUCACGCACCUUCUCUUUCCUGACUCAAGGGAAGUCUCCCAUUCCGCAGACCCUCUCAUUAAACUCCAGGGUGUGGGAAACCUGAGGGAGAGCCUUUUCACUGAGACAGAAGUAAAGAAGGCAUUCAGUAUCUGUGCCUUCUCAGCAUCCCCCAUUACCAGAACCCCGCCUCACUUAGUAAGGGGCCCACAUUCUCUCUAGUUUUCCUUUUGCUGUUAACAUACUUAAAAAAGCCUUUUUUAUUAUCCUUUAUCACUUUCAGAGCCCAUCUCUUUCAGUUUUCUGAAAGACUCUCCAGCCGUCUGAUCAUCUUUGUGGCCUUCCUCUGGACGUGCUCCAACAGCUCCUCAUCUGUGGCCACAGACUUGGACACAGUACUCCAGGUGGGGCCUCAUAAGGGUGGAAUAGAGGGGAUAGUCCCGUCUUUUGCACUGCUGCCACAUCUCUGCUAAUGCAGCCCAGAAUACUGUUGGCCUUUCAGACUGUUUCAGACCAUUGGCUCAUGUCUUGCUUUACAUCCACUAGAAUCCCCAAGUCCUUCUUCACAGGGCUGCUCUCAGUGAAUUCUUUUCCCAAUCUGUACAUAUAUAUGGGAUUAACCCAACCCAAGCGUAGCAGUUUGCACUUGGUCUUGUUGGACCUCAUUAGGUUCACAUACACCCUCUUUUAAAGCUUGUCCAUGUUAUUCUGGAUAUUAUCCCUUCCUUUUGUUGUAUCAAUUCAGCAUGGUGUUGUCUGCAAUCUUCCUUGCAAUAUACUCAAUCCCAGUGUAUGUCAUCAAUAAAGAUGUUAAAAAGCACCAGAUCUGCCCUUGUUGAAGACAUCGUGGCUGUCACAGAUGACCUCUUUGUCUCACAUGUGCCUUAAUGUCUCUUCCAGGAGCAUCUGCUUCAUGAUCUUCCCAGACAGAGACAUGAGGCUCGUUGGCCUGUAUUUCCCUGUCUUCCUUCCUUUGUUAAAUAUGAGAGUAAUGUUUCCCUUUAUCCAGUCAUCAGCGACUUCACUUGACAGCCAUAACUUUUCAAAUGUGAUAGAGAGCAGCUUGGCAACCACAUCAGCCAGUUCUUUCAGGACCCUGGGAUGCAUGUCAUCUGUCCCAUAGACUUGUACACAUUCAGUCUCAUGAGGUGAUCUCAAACUUGCACUUUACCUACAGUGGGAGGGAUUUGGCUCCUUCAACCCUUGGUGUAGCAGUGCAGGGACAGGAGAGAUGUGGGACUGAUAGUGAGGAAUGAAGCAUAGAACACCUUGAGAACCUCAGCAUUCUCUAUGCCUGUUAUAGUCAGUUCUCCUUUUUCAUUUGUCAGAGGCAGUGCAAUCUCAUUGCCCUUUUUCUUCUCACCAAUGUACCUGUAGUACCCUGUCUAGUUAUUUUUCACAUCUCUCUUCAAGUUCAGUUCUAUCCGUGCCUUGACUUUCCUGAUCCCAUCUCUGCAUGUUUGAGCAGCAUCCCCCGUUCUUCCUAGGCCACAUAUCUGUGCUUCCAUUCCCUGUGCUUUUCCUUCUUUUCCCUCAGUUUGACCAACAGCUUCUUGCUCAGCCAUGUUGGUUUCCUGCAUUGCUGUUUUAGUUAACAGGAUAUUUGACAGGCAUAUUAUGUCCAAGAAAUCCAAGCAGUAAAUUUGUUUAAUGUAGCAAGCAAUGUUUACUUACUGCCUCAAAACUUCUGUCUUCCUAGUCACUCUUUCACUGUUACAGUGGGAUAACUCAUCAUUUAACAAAUGGGCCGUAUUUCUCCUUUAGCUUACAUUCUUUCCUAAAGCGUAGCAUUUUUGAGAUACCGGUCUGAUGGCACACAUGCCACUGUGCCUCAGAGUAACUUUCACAUGCUGUCUUUAUGAAGUGUUUAUCCCGACGUGGUAAAUAGGAUUCACAUGCUGCUUGUCCCUUCACUGCUCUCCUACUUCAGCCCCUGGGAUUGACUUACUGCAGUGUAACUGAAUGCUGCCGAGCCACAGCCUUGUGAGAAUUUGUGUCCGCAUCUUAAACUGGGCAGGAAAGAAAAUCUUUCUUCUCCAGCUGAUCAUUUGUUAUGCUCAAAUACGUUUUGUUACGACUUUGUACUUCAUUUUGACAUUGCGUUAUACAGUCAAUUUGGCAUUGAACUGUAGAAAAUGAGAAUACUAGGAAGCAGAUUCCUCAAAAUAUCAGUUUUAUAUCACAGACAGCUCUCCAAGAAGAGAAAGCUCUUUUUCUUUCAGCUUUGCUGAGCAAAUUACACAAUUCCUGUGGAAAUCUUAAAUCUAGUAUAUUUAAAAUCAGUUUGUGCUACAAAGCCUGAGGUUUGGUAUCAGUUGUUCCUGUUGUGUGUUGUAGUCACUAAUCCUUUUAAUGAAAAGCUUUUAGCAUUGGAGAGAUUCUAUUUAUAGUAAAACCAUUAGAGCAUAAAGCUCCUCAUUGCUAUUCUGCAGCAUGUAGCUGUGAUGUUUGUCAGUGGAGGGAAGAUAUUUUUAGCUGCAGCAUUCAAAACCGGGGCUGAAAGGUCAAGAAUCCUCGCGGGGAUAUGUUCUGCUACAUCAGUGCUAUCACACAGCUGCUGUUUACUCUCUUAUCGUUCUUCAGUAAUGAGAAGAUUUCUUCAUUGUGACACUAAAGGUAUAAAGCAUCCAAAGCAUUUUGUGCAUGGAGUGAAUACGCAGGAAAGAUGACGUAUCCAAUCACAUUAAAUGUUCUACUUCUCCUUAAGUGAACGAUUUUAUUUUCCCAUAGACUAUCUCAAUACCUAUUCAUCAAGAGAUGCAUUCUAUGAAUUUUUUAUUUUUUUUUAUGAAAGGGGAUAAGACCAAGCAGAAGGCAAUCUGCUGAAAUAGAGAAGAAUUCUGAGUAUAUGGUAUUCAGCCUGACGUCUGCACCAUUAAUUUUCAUGGCCACAUGAUGCAUGUGCAGAAGACGUAUCAGUGUGUAAUUUGACAAAGAAAAGGAGUCUGGAGGUUCCUAUUGAUAAUAUAAGGAACAGAAUUGUGUGUGGGGGUGAUUAUAUCUGCUACAGGACAGCUCGUAGCUCACCGGGUAGGUGUUCAGCAAGCACAAAAAGAUUGUGCAGUCCUAUUGAAAGAGGGUGUGACAGAUGAUCCAUGAAAGGAAGAAGGGAGAAAAAAGGAAGGGAGAGAGGGGAUAAUUACAGGAAUACAAGGCUGCAUGUAUUAGCGGAGUGUACAAUGUGGAAGCUUCAGAGGGUUUUCUAAUGUCUUCAUAUAAAAAUCAGGGGGGAAAGAUUAAUUGCCACAUUGAGAAAAUUAGGGCUGGAUGAUCAAAGGAAAGGCAGAGCAGAAAUGGCCUGUUGGCAGAUGGUUUAUAGAAAUUGAGAGGUUUUUCAGAGGAGACGAGUGGAGUUCUUUGCUGCUUGAGAUGCAGGCAGUGUCAUAUUUUAAUAGUAAUAAGCUGCUAAGUAACCCCUUUUAUUCAGAAAACGUUAUGUAUGAGAAAAGUAUGAGUAAAAUAAUACAUCCACGGGUACACUUCCUUCUCAGGGUAUAAUAAAAUUAAUUAUGCUUUUCCUCUAGGAAUUUCUUCUAGGUCUUGCUGCUGGAAGUUAUCUUGUGACACAUAGAGUCCGUAAUAUCACACCUUUCAAAACAGGUUCUUUCGUAUCAGGAGAUUGGUUUAAUUCCACUCUUUCUUUGUGCCCUAAGGAGUUUUUAAUACCAUUUUUCUGGGCUUUCUAUAUGGGUAGAGUUGACUUAGUCCAUGUGGUUAUAGCUGUUCCAGCACAGACUGAGCACAUGUUAAUAGGCAGCUCCCGUUCCCAGGAUCUCAUGACAUAAAUAAACCAAAAAUUGAAGGAUUGUCAGAAGAACAGGAGAAAUGGAAAAUGUCUCAAUUCUACGCUUGUUUUUUACUUUUUCCUCUUGUAAUUGAAUGAGAUUAAGGUAAAGGUGUAUUGGCUGCAGGGAGUGACGGAUGAAGGAGCUUUAUGAGAAGACUUGUGCAGCAUUAAUGACUCACUCCUAUCCAAACACGGGGUGUUCCUUGGUCCUGUUAUAUCUCCUUCUCUCUCACUCUUAUGUAAAAGAAACUCAUAUGUUUCUGCCUCAGUUGCCCACUUCAUGUCAAAGUGGUUCCAUUCAACUCACUAAAAGGGACAGAAAAAAAAGCCAGGAGAAAGAAGAAAAAAAAAAAAAAAAAAGGAAUUUGCUUUGGGUAUUUUAUUUUUUAUGAUGAGAUCAGCCAGUUGAGUCAAUGUACCUUUGAGCAGGGCUGGUGAGGAGCCAGAUGGCCAAGAAGCGAAAAUGAGGGCAUUACCUGGGAGGUGGUUGGGUAUGGGGGUAGGGGAAUGGCAGGUAUGGGUUAUGGCUGCACCAGAAAGGGCCAUCCGUGCACUGAGCACCUGGACUCCCUGUAGUGGAGUAUUUAUUGGGCCUAUUUCUGAGGCAUGAUUAUCUGAGCACAGAAUUGAAGCUUUCUCUUGCAGCUCUCAGAGGAAAAAUAACACCACAAAGAAGAAUAUUUAGAAUGGAAUGUAUUCGGGAUGGAAGAAUUUAUCCUUAGUUCCUGACUUUGUUAGGUUUGAGUAAAGGAAAUUACUGGGAGUAGAAAGGUAUCUAAAGAUGUGUCAUUAUGGUUGACCUCAGAAGAUCUUUGGAUGAUGGAGUUUUAACCUUUGAGAUUCCAGCCAAUGUGUUUGGUGUUUUCUCAUGACUACAUUGAAAUGUUCUGAUCUUCUGGCAUUGUACCUGAAUUGUUGUGGAAUUUGACAGUUGCAGGAAGAGGGUGUUAAGAAAAUUACUACUUUGCUGUUGAGCACUCUGGUGUAAAUAUGGGAAAAAGAAACAACAAAACUGGGGAUGAAUAUGCCUGUGCAGGGGAAGCGUGGUACAUUUCAAGAAUGCCUACCUGCUAUCCUGGUGCAUAUUUCUAUUCAGUUAAGGUUGCUGUAUUUUCUUGUUAUUGUUUGUUUAGAAAGCAAAUCUUUAUCCUUUUGUAUUGUACUUUGUUCAGAUACGUGUAUUGUGUUCUUUAUGACAGUUAUGUCAACCUUGGCUUUUGUGAGGGUACAUAACUGGAAAAGUAGGCUGUUAAUUGUACACUCAGCAGAUUUGAUCUACAGGCAUUGGCAGACUGAAAACAUUGAGUCACAAGAAUACCUAUGUUCCUACAGAGUCAUUUAUUACCAUCUUUUAAAAAGAGAUUCAUCUUACAGAACCAUAAUACACUCACAAAGACAGAUGUAAACCUAAAGUCCAACUGCCCAAACUUUGAAGUGAAGUUCCAACCCCUCUGCCACAGGCAGGGACACCAACCUCCAAAUUUGGUACUAGAGCAGGUGCCCAGGGCCCCAUCCAGUCUGGUCUUGAACACUUCCUAGGGCAUCCACAGCCUCUCUGAGCAGCCUGUUCCAGCAUCUCACCACUCUCUCUGUGGAGAACUUUCCCCCGACAUCUUCCCUCCUUGAGCUUAAAACCAUUGCUCCGUGUCCUAUCACUGUCUACCCUUGCAAAAAGCUGAUUCCCCUAUGAUGUGUACCAUUUGUCUGCUCUUUAGAACAGCUGAUUUUCUGAGUGGAAUAGCUGUUUGGCACUUCUAGUGAUUGCAUGCUGCACAUCAGACUGAUAGCAGACUGAUAGUAAUGCAAGUGCUGAUAUAUUGGUGUAUCCUCCUCAUGUCUUGGAAUGGUUAUAUGGUAAUCCUGUAGAAUUAAAGAACAACAACAACAAAAGCAAAAAAAGAUACCGCUGCUCUAAAAUGAAGGUAUAAAGACUAAUGAACAGGAAACAUGCAGAAAGAAAAAGUAUCAAACCAGUCUGAUUUUUCAUGAGAAAGUGACAAGCCUUACAGGGAGAGAAUAAUUAGUAGGUGACAUAUUUUGGAGUGUUUCAUAAGGUACUGGACUUUCCUUCUAAUGAUACUUUAGAUUGAAUAAAUGUUUAAAUCCUUCUUCUGUACGGUGAAUGUGUAAGUCAAUGGAAAAAUGUUUUCAGAGAAUACUUAUGAGUGGUUUGUUGUCAGACCAGGAGAACGGCACUCAGCAAAGACUUUUCCUCAUUAGUCUUUAUUACCAACCCAGAUGGUGGACUAGAAUGCAUUCUUAUUAAAUUUGCAGAUGCAAAGAAGCUGGGAGAGAUGGCAACUGUAUCAGAAUGCGGAAUUGAAAUUCAGAAUUACUUAACUGAACUGAAAAAGUAAGAACAUGCAGUACUUUGCUAAUUCUCUGGUAUGCCUUUCCAGUAGGAUAUAGACUUACUAUAGAGAAUUUGAAGUGCAGUCGUGGUUAUGAAAUCUACACAGCAUGAUAUGAGGGAAUAAUGAGAGAGUUGGGGUUGCCAUCAGAGAAGACAAGUAAGCACAUAACGAGAGAUCUCUUAUGUCUGCUAUAAAAGAGAUGGAAAGGAAUAAGAUUAUUUGUGUUUCUGGUUAAAACAAAUGUUGAAGUAAAGUUUCAGUAAAAGGGAUUUCUACAGAAUAUUUGAAAUAGUAGUAAGUUUUUUACAAAACUGGGGAAGAGACUGUCUUGGGAGGCUGUAGUGGUUCUGCCAUGGAAGCCUUGGAGACCCAGUUAGACAGAAAUGUCUCAGGAAUGAUUAGGUGGAACAAGAGCCCCUUGAGGGAAGAGGAGAUGGAGCAGAUGUCUUCUUCAGGAUCAAGAUCUUGUAAUUUUCGUGACAGUCUUGCAAGGUUGCCAUAUGCAGUACACCAGAAAUUUAUGUGAUCAUCCAUCCUCACCAUUUUAAUUGGUGGGUGUGUCUUCAGGCAUAUAAACUUGUCAAGCUGUGUCCUCCAUUUUUGAUGAGUGAAUAAAUUAGAUCUUUUAUUUUUACAUUUAUUAGACUAUAAAGGCUUUCCUUGCCUAUCAAAACAGAGACUUAAGCAUUUGCUAAUGGCUUGUAAGAAGCCAAUGAAGCUUGAAUUCAGUUCUUUUCAUUUUGACAACUGUUAUUGAUAUGAAGUGUAAUGAAAACAGCCUGUCUGUUGUUAGGCUUUUAGUUACUUGGUAUGCUGUUUCCAGCCUUUAAUUUACAGGGAUGAAAUAAUUGACCUUGUAUCUUUACAGGACUGACUGGGAAUUUAGGACUGAAGUUAUGUUUUGUUUAACAAGUAGCUCUGAGAAUAUAUAGACUUGUGUCUUUAGUAAACAGAGUAUGGCCUGAUUCAACAUUCUCCUGGAAAAUGUUCAUUCUUGACAGAUUUCUGAUUCCACAAAUACAGACUGAAAAAACCUUGUGGAUGAUUAGUAGUGAAAAAUUCAAAGCAAAUGAAAAUAUACGUUAAUAUCACUUUUUCUGUUUAAGUUUUCAUGGCAAAUGUAGAAUAUUUGGCUUUGCUCACCUUCAGCUGUGAGUACCUGUGAAAUAGCAUGCUAUCUAGUGUAACAAUUAGAAUUAUUUUAUUAGUUUAGUGUAAUUAUUGUUUUCUGAAUUUGUGUCUAAUUACUAUAAAAGUUCUUGGUUACCUCAUAGAUGUAAUUAUCCUUUUAAAAGAGUCUGAGGAUAACUGCUGAAAGCAUGUAAGCAUUCCAAAGCUCCUUGAAAGAUCUGUGCCAUCACAGCAAGUCACUGUUUUUCUGUUGUUGCAGUUAAUGAUGGAUUUCUGUCAGUGGAAGGAAACGUGGUUGCGUAUUAGUUGAAACGCAGCUAAGUUUUGCUGAGAUUUGCAGUAGUGAAGGAUGUGACAUGGAGAAUUUGAGAAAUCAAAAGCUAUUUCUUGCUAGCAAAAACCUGACACCUCCCCUUCCUCUGUACAUUUUGAGCUGUGCCCCAUCCUACUGCUCAGAUGCAUGUAGUAUAUUUGGGUAUGUCUAAUCACAAUUUAUAUGUAAUUAUUUUAAAUUAUUAGUAUAGAGAGUUUUGCAAAGGGCGUGUUUUCUUGGAUGAGAAAGGUUUUUGACAACUAUCAGCAAAGAGUAUGGCUAAAUUUGCUACCAAGAAAGCCUAGCUUAGUCAUUUGGCAAGGGAUAAUCUUACAUAGCUUAGAAGCCUAAAGAUUUAGACUUGAAGCGCUUUUUGCUGUUUCAUUACACAGGCAUUGUCGUACAGCUCUCUUUUGUUUUGACUCGACAAGGACUAUGCCAAAUUAUUUUCCCUAGAAGAGUUUAUUUUCCUGUUUGAAAAGGCAAGUUGUACUGAGAGACAUGCUGGUAGUCAUCUACUGAAGUUUCUUUUCCCAUCUACUUCCCAUGCAUCCAUUCUUCUUGCUUCAAGUCUGCCUGGUCCCUUAAAUCCUUGCACAGUUUUGCACACAGAUUUAUUGUUGAAAGUAUAUUAUUAGUACAGUGCCUAACACAGAGCCUCUGGGUGGCACCACGACAUGAAUAAUGAUAAUUAUAAUGAGUCGAGUCAGCCAUUAAAUCACUUCACCUUCAAAUCUUGGCUACGUGUGGAAGCCUUUUUUAUUUCUAGAGCUGACUUCUUCCAAAUCUAAAAUUCAUUACUCUGUGCAUUUUUCAUCUCCACAGACACACUGCUGCUCAGUGAAAAUUGGGCCACAAAAAGAAACUGAAAAAGCUUUAAUUAAAAAGCAAAUAGCAUUUUUCAGCAGGGAAAAGAAGUGGUGAGAUCUCCCCCAGGCUUUUCGUGCUAAAAAAAGAUUCUUCUAUUUUUGUUUCUCUUCCCUUUUAAAAUCCACCACCUACCUUAUUUAUUCAUCCCUGCUUGGAGUUUACUGAUCCAGUUGUAAGAGAGGUAUUCAAAAUUAGCAGCUGUGCUGUGGCAGCCUUGAGGGGUAUAUGGCUUUCUUCUGUAAAAAAGAAAUUGCAGGCACUGCACAUUACUUGAGCAGCAGCUCAGCCAAGAGAAUAAAGCUCUGAUAGUGGCAGUACCUUUUAUUUUCAAUAUUUAAUUGCCCCGUGUUUAAAUACAGAGUAUGUCUGGCAGCAAGCAAAGCAGGUGUGACAAGGUGUUUUGUUUUAUGUUUCAGAACAGAACAGUUUGGUUGGUGAAGACAAAGUGAAAUGCAGUGGUUAUUGUCUAAUUUCUCAUUUCCACAACAGCAUCAUACGUGUUAAUGACUGUGCUAUUGAGGUUUUGGGAGACAACUAAUAAAUUCUGUAUACACUUCUUUUACCGUAUUACUUCUUCUUUGAAUAAAUAACACUUUACCACAUGUCCAGAUUUUGCUGUUUAGCUGAGUGGUGGUAGAACUGCCCUGAAAGCUUCUCCCUGCAGUUUAUUCUUCAGUAUUCAAAAUCAAAAUGAUGAAAGCCCUUUGCAGUAUAUUAGCAGUGCGAUGACCACUUUGAAAUCAACCGUGCUCUUACUUUGUACUUCAUAAGAGCAUAUCUCGUUCUAUUAGAUUUUGCUGUAAUUGGCAUAUUUAUUGGCAGAGUUAAGAAAAUGACUUGGUUAGGUGGGCCCUAGGAGCUGAUUACUUCUUAACUACUGAAUAGUUGAACUAGUGGAAAAUUCCAGCAGCAACUGUGGUGAAGAGGAACUUCAUUCACCUUUCUUCAUAUCAGUAAAAUACAAGAUCUAUUUUAUUAAAAUGAAACCAUUCUGACUUCUUCUCUAAAGCUGGAUGGUGUAUUUCUAAGUGCUCCACGUGCCACUGGAUAAUUCCAUGCACGGGAAUAUGUGUGUCAUCCCACAGCAUGAUUUGAUCUUCCCAGAGAUGAAAUCUUAGUUUUAUUGUAGUAGGUAAGAUGUGGAUUUUUGGUUGAAUGUUAACAAGGAUUUCACCUUUGAUGUCACAUUGAGAUGGUAAUGACAUCAACUUGUGCCUCUUGGAUUUAGGGAAUGUCUUGACUGUAUUUUGUUAAUGGACAUCUAAAAUUAUUGAGAAUUAUUAUACAGAAAAUGUCUGAAAGUUGCUUAUUCUUAAAAUGUUGAAUGUGAUCUACACUGAGAAUAUCACAUACUUCUCUGAAAUUGCAGUUUGUGGAAUUCUGAGGUGACAUGUAAACACUGACUCUAAAAUGGCUACAAACUACGGCUUGAUUGUUCUGGAAACUAAAGUGCUUUUCAAAUUGCAUUUGCAGUUUUGGAGAUUUUUUUCAUUAAUAGACGUAACCUGGAGGCUGUGGCCUGUAGGUGACCUCUGCUGUCUGUAUGAAUGUUUAAAGUUGCUCUGUGUAAGUCUCUUGAGAUAGGAUUCACCUGGUGAAAUGCGCCUCUUUACGGCAUAUCAAAAUGGAGAAUUUUCAUUUCCUUAUUUUCAAACUCACGGGGACACUCACAAAAACUUUUUUUGUAUAACAAAAACUCCAAUCAAUCACUCAAUAUUUUCUCCUACCUCAGGGCUCUUGUUCAUCCUCCUAACUAAGAACUGAUUCAACCCUAACUCAGCAGAUGCAGUAUGAUAAAAAUGCAGCUGGAGGUGAUUUGACAGCCUAUUUAUUUUACUUUUAAUACUUUUAAACUUGACUAGUUAUGACAGUCAUAUGAAAGAGACCUCCUCCUUUUUGUCAGGGUGUGGAUAUUAGAUAGUAAUCCUUCAGAGCAAUCUUAACAUAGUGGGCUAGCUUUGCAUUUGAGAACAUGUAAAACCAUUCCUGCUUGUAAUAGUUUAUAACCUUCUGCUAUUGAAGUAUGCAUAAAACUUUAAGAUUUAUGGUUUAAAGUCUUUCACUAGUAUAAAACCUGUUGAAGUUAUCAAUCUUAUUAUAGACUACUAGAUACCUCUUAACUCUUCGGAAUGCUUCUUGUCAGGAGCUCCAAAGUGCCUCCUUGCUUAGCACUUCAGUGCAUAGUUACUAGUGAUUGCAAUGAAAUUUGCAUUGUGAUUGAUCUUAUUAAACACUGCUGAUAAAAUAAAAAAGUCUGACUCUGUGGAGUGAACAGUAGUGACUAAGUAAUAGUUCAGGUUGGAAGCUGUAUGCAGAAUUACUGUAGUAUGGGAAAAUAUAAACUUCAAAAAAAACAUUUUUCUUAACCAUGCUGUAAGUUGAUUGACCUUAUUAUACCAUAUAAGUAUGCUGGUACAUCCUCAGCCUCUCUGGGCAACCUGUGCCGUUGUCUCACCACCAUCACAGUCAAGAAUUUCGUCCUAAUAUCUUGAUUACAUCUAUCCUCUUACAGUUUAAAGCCACUUCUCCUCAUCCUAUUGCUACCUGCCCUUAUAAAAAGUCCCUCCUAUAGGCCUCCUUCAGGUACUGGAAGGCCGCUAUAAGAUUCCCCUGCAGCCUUCUCCAGGCUGAAGAGCCGCAACUCUCUCACCUGUCCUAGUAGGGGAGGCGCUCCAGCCCUCUGAUCAUCUUCAUGGCUCUCCUCUGGUCUUGCUCCAACAUCUCCAUGUCCUUCUUGUGUUGGGCGCCCCAGAACUGGAUGCAGUACUCCAGGUGGGGUCUCAUGAAUGCAGAGUAGAGGGCAGAAUCAUCUCCCUUGACCUUCUGGUCACACUUCUCUUGAUGGAAUCCGGGAUAAUCCAGGAUAUGGUUGGCUUUCUGGGCUGCAAGCACACAUUUUUCUGCUCAUGUUAAGUCUUUUAUCUACCGACACCCCAAAUCCUUCUCCUCAAAGGAGCUUGCAGGCCAAUUCUCCACCCUGCCUUUACGUGUGCUUGGGACUGCCCCGAUCCAGGUGUAGGACCUCGCACUUGGCCUUGCUGAACUUCAUGAGGUUGGCAUAGGCCAACCUGAAACCCGUUCAGGUCCCUCUGGAUGUCACCCCUUCCCUCUAGUGUCAGCUGUACCACUCAGCUUGGUGUCAGCUGCAAACUUGCUCCUCCUCAUCUCCCUCGACCUGCUGGCCAUGGUCUUUUCAGUGCACCUCAGGAUACCUUUGUCCUUCUUGGCCACAAGGGCACACUACUGGCUUAUGGCCAACCUGUUUUCCACAGGAUGCCAAGGUCCUGUUCUGCAGAGCUUCUUUCCAGCAGGUUAGCCUCUAAGCUGUACUCUUGUGAGGCUAUUCCUCCCUUGGUGUAGAAGUCUACGCUUACCUUUAUUGAACCUUGUAAGGUUCCUUUCUGCCCAACUGAGGAAAGUGUAUUCAGGUUCACAUGUGCUUCAGAUUUUCCUGCUUUUCCUUAUUUCUACUGUAUAAUUUAUAUUAUCUGGCUCUAUUUUAUUUUAGGAACAGAUUGUUGUAUAUAGACUGAUUUUUUGAGAAUCCCUGUGUUUAUGCCCUUGUAGGCAAUAUCUUUCACCUUUAUCAUACCAGACUUCUCAUCCUUUUCUCUUAGGAUCCCCUCAGAAGAUACAUCUCCAUUAAGAUGCCAAAAAACUUAUAGAUAAAUGAUAACUGUGUGUUUUAAAGGCUUUUAACACAAAGGGAGCAUAACCACAUUACCUUCUCAUUUAUGCAUCAUUCCAUUUUCCCUUCUUUUUUUUUUUUUUU